rnacentral:rRNA from 1 species
GACGUAGGGCGCGAGCGUUGUCCGGAUUUAUUGGGCGUAAAGAGCUCGUAGGCGGCUUGUCGCGUCGUCCGUGAAAACCUGCGGCUCAACUGCAGGCUUGCGGGCGAUACGGGCAGGCUAGAGUUCGGUAGGGGAGACUCGAAUUCCUGGUGUAGCGGUGAAAUGCGCAGAUAUCAGGAGGAACACCGGUGGCGAAGGCGGGUCUCUGGGCCGAUACUGACGCUGAGGAGCGAAAGCGUGGGGAGCGAACAGG